rnacentral:rRNA from 1 species
AAUAGAUACCCCGGUAGUCCACGCCGUAAACGAUGAGUGCUAAGUGUUAGAGGGUUUCCGCCCUUUAGUGCGUGCAGCUAACGCAUUAAGCACUCCGCCUGGGGAGUACGGCCGCAAGGCUGAAACUCAAAGGAAUUGACGGGGGCCCGCACAAGCGGUGGAGCAUGUGGUUUAAUUCGAAGCAACGCGAAGAACCUUACCAGGUCUUGACAUCCUCUGCCAACCCUAGAGAUAGGGCGUUCCCCUUCGGGGGACAGAGUGACAGGUGGUGCAUGGUUGUCGUCAGCUCGUGUCGUGAGAUGUUGGGUUAAGUCCCGCAACGAGCGCAACCCUUGAUCUUAGUUGCCAGCAUUCAGUUGGGCACUCUAAGGUGACUGCCGGUGACAAACCGGAGGAAGGUGGGGAUGACGUCAAAUCAUCAUGCCCCUUAUGACCUGGGCUACACACGUGCUACAAUGGAUGGUACAAAGAGCUGCGAACCCGCGAGGGUAAGCCAAUCUCAUAAAGCCAUUCUCAGUUCGGA